rnacentral:snRNA from 1 species
GCGCUUGCUUCAGCAGCACAUACACUAAAAUUAGAAUGAUCCAGAGAUGAGGAUGGCCCCUGUGCAAGGAUGACACACAAAUUCCUGAGGCGUUCCAUAUUUUU